rnacentral:lncRNA from 1 species
GCAGACUCCCUUCUCAUGCCCUGUUGAAGGCUGCGAGUUGGAAUUUGUUCAAUUAGCGCUUUCUUUGGCGAGAAGAGCAUGGAAGGAGUCGAUAUUAUUUAUAUAAUCCUCGCCACCUGGUUGAAUUGAUUAGGUGGGAGCUGAUUGGUCAUUCGCUCCAUUCACAGGCCUCCUCCCAUCAUGAACUCGACCAGGAUACAUUCAGGAACCACAUCACAAUCCUUGUUAACUUCCUGAAGUCCAAGCACUACCCCGAUCCUUGGCAGGUUGAUUCAUCAAUGUUUGUGCUGUCCCUUCAAAGAUGGAAGCUAAACUGGGUGUCCUCUCUGCUGGCAUUAGUUGAUGGACAUUAAAGAUCCCAUGAUGUCCUCUGUGAAGAGUCGGCCAGCACAUGAGAGAGAACAACGCGACGGGACUCGAUGGUUCAACAGUCACGGUACAUGAGGUGAACAUGAGUGAGUUGAGCCGGCAGGACUGGGACAGUGGGUGGCGGAAACAACUCAAUGCGGCAAUCGUUGAACAUUCGAUGCAAUGGUGAACUUCCUCAUUUGACUUUG